CAUGCAAGUCGAGCGAUGAAACUUUAACAGAACCCUUCGGGGCGAAGAUAAGUGGAUUAGCGGCGGACGGGUGAGUAACACGUGAGUAACCUGCCUUAGACAUUGGGAUAGCCUCGGGAAACCAGGAUUAAUACCAAAUAAAAUUAUAAUGACACAUGUCAUAACGAUCAAAACUCCGGUGGUCUAAGAUGGACUCGCGUCCCAUUAGCUAGUUGGUGGAGUAAAAGCCUACCAAGGCGACGAUGGGUAGCCGGCCUGAGAGGGUGAACGGCCACAUUGGAACUGAGAAACGGUCCAAACUCCUACGGGAGGCAGCAGUGGGGAAUAUUGCACAAGUGGAGGGAACUCUGAUGCAGCGACGCCGCGUGAACGAAGAAGGCUUUCGAGUCGUAAAGUUCUUGUAUAUGGGAAGAUAAUGACGGUACCAUAAGAAAAAGCCCCGGCUAACUACGUGCCAGCAGC
rnacentral:rRNA from 2 species